AUGGAAUGGAGAUGGAUCAUCCUCUUCUUGUCAGUAACUACAGGUGUCCACUCCGAGGUCCAGCUGCAGCAGUCAGGAGCUGAGCUUGUGAGACCUGGGACCUCGAUUAAGUUGUCCUGCAAGGCUUCUGGCUACACUUUCACCAGCUACUAUAUGAACUGGGUGAAACAGAGUCCUGGACAGGGCCUGGAGUGGAUUGGAGAUAUUAUUCCUGCACUUGGUAGUACUAGCUACAAUCAGAAGUUUCAGGGCAAGGCCAAGUUGACUGCAGACACAUCUUCCAGCACAGCCUACAUGGAGCUCAGCAGCCUGACAUCUGAGGACUCUGCAGUCUAUUACUGUGCAACAGGAGACACAGUGUUAUAA